GACAGCUUAGCUCAGCAGUAGAGCAGGUCUGUACCAUGACUGUGAAGUGGGUUUGAAUCCCAUGGUUGUCC
rnacentral:tRNA from 1 species